CAGCCGCCGCGGUAAUACGUAGGGUCCGAGCGUUGUCCGGAAUUAUUGGGCGUAAAGGGCUCGUAGGCGGUUUGUCGCGUCGGGAGUGAAAACUCAGGGCUCAACCCUGAGCGUGCUUUCGAUACGGGCAGACUAGAGUGCGGUAGGGGAGAUUGGAAUUCCUGGUGUAGCGGUGGAAUGCGCAGAUAUCAGGAGGAACACCGAUGGCGAAGGCAGAUCUCUGGGCCGUAACUGACGCUGAGGAGCGAAAGCGUGGGGAGCAAACAGGAUUAGAUACCCCAGUAGUCCCUGUCUCUUAUAC
rnacentral:rRNA from 1 species